GGACUCGCGCCGUGGAGCCGAUCGAACACUCCCUCCACAACGGGCCGCUCCUCUGGGCGAAAACGGGCCAGCCGUUUCUGCACCACAACACUAUCGGUGUUCCCCAUGGCCCUGUAUGCACAUUGGACAACACUAUCAGUGACAGGCUUCUUCAGUCCAGUCCUGUCGCUGAAGAUAAUGGGAGGCUGAUUGAGGGGAAGCGUCCCCUUAUACAGGGACACCUGUACUCCUAUUGGCUGCAGGUGUGUGCAUUAUUUUCUCUCAGACUGUUGUCUGCCUAGGCAGCGGGGUAAACUACUAGGAGCAGAGCUCCCUUAUGGGGCGGAGCUCCACGAUAUAGAAAUGGAACCUGGAUAGUACACAAGUUUUGAUUGGUUUGCUGUUUAGUACUUGGCAGCGUUUGCCUGUCUAGCUUGCGAACUUAAAAGUAUUUAGUGGAAAAAAUGUGUGAGAAUUGACAAUGCCAACAAACGGAAAUGUGUUCUGAAUAAUAAAUGUUUACAAUAUGUAAAAACCAGCUCCUCCCUCGCCAGGGACCAAUCAUCUCGAAAACUAGUACAAUCAAGAACUGUUUGCUCAAUUUGGUCAAAUUCUACGAAGUUAAAUUGAUGGUGUAUCAGCUAGGUACUGAAUAAUUAUUAGUGAAACUGAUCAUAUAAAAUGCUUAAAUAAUGUUUAGAAUUGUAUUAUGUUUAUCAUUGGCUAUUUUCUAAUGGUGUAAUAAAGUACAGGGUGUAUGGUGGUCAGUACUGUACAAGGGGCUUCAGAGAAAUUAAGCAGCUUUAUUGUAGGCUAAACUGCCACCACAAGAUCCUCUGGCUGUAACUUUCCAGGCUUUGAAUUGGAAACAUAGAAAUGUGUUUUGAACAUCCCAUCCUUGAGAUAGGCCUAGGGCAGGUACUAAAUAAUAUGUGUUUCAUAAACACAUAUAGUACUCUUUUUUUGUCAAAUAUCCCACUGGGCACAAACUGGUUGAAUCGACUUUGUUUCCACUUCAUUUCAAUGAAAUUACGUUGAAACAAUGCUGAAUAGACGUUGAAUUGACGUAUGUGCCCUGUGGGAUGUUUGCUAAAUAUUAUUAUAGUCUAUGAUGCAUGGUCGAAGUGGGGAAUAUUUUAGCAUUUUGUUUAAUUAUAGUAAUUACACAGUUUAGAUACAUUCAUUUACUAUCAACAUGUAUCACUAUUCAUUCAUCAACAAACAUUUUAGAUACAUUUAUUCUAUAUAAUUGGACAAACUAACAUAACAUUCUCUGAAGAGCAGGUUUGUUUCCGUUGAACGUCCACUACUAUUCCCUUGUUCGCCAGAAGAGUGCGCAAAGGAUGAAGUAAAAACCGAACCACUGUGCUUUGCAGCAGCUCAUAUUGAAACAGUCGGCAAUGAAAAACGCCUUUUAAGGGCAUAAGAUUUACCGUGUUGAGGGAGUUGGGUGUGUUAAACGUGUCCAGCAGACGACUGCGCCGGUCUCGCUCCAUUUGUAUAGGUUACGUCGUCAGGUGUCUCUUGCACCAAUCUGUAGACUAAAGCUUAUUCCCCAGAUAAAAAUGACAUUACAGAAUUGUAUUUUAUAUUCAACUAUAUUAGGGACAAGUUAUAUCAGGGACCAUUUAUAUCUGUAUGUUAAAGAUGAUGAAAUAACUUGAUUUCUCAAUUACCGGUAUAUAAAUGCUCUCUGUUUAUUCUGCUAAUUUUAAUGUGUGUACCUAAGCUGUAGGCCUAUAUUGGAGGAGGCAAAAUUAUAUCUCACAAAGCCUCAUAACCUUGCACUAUUAUUAUAGAAUGAGAAACACAAAGAGCUUCCGUUUUGGUGAGCCAUCACAUACAGUACGACUGAGACACUAAAGGACAUAGAAGUAGUAGUGAUUCUUUUCAAGGGGUUGAUGGUGUGUGUAGAUGGUGUGUGUAGGCUGUUCUCCUACUCCUAGAUAUUCUGUGUUAUUGCAGCAAGUCUGACUAUUGCUACUAUAUUGGAAUACAAUGGAAACAUCAACUGACAUAGAGUAUGACAGAUGUGCCAUGACCAUUAAAAUUGAAAGUGCACAGAAGCAUGUGAAGAAGUAAGCGAGGGUGAAAGUGAAAGUAAAGAUAAAGUUCAGUCAUCACCUAAUACUGUAAGUCUGAAGGGAACUUCUUCUCUGAUAUCAAUAUUUUAUUUUUAUACACCAUGUCUCUUUUGGGGCAUCUGAAACCGAGCCCUACUCCAGAAUAAGAUUGAUGAUUAUCUUUCAGUUGUGCAGUGUAGGUCAUACCAAGGGCAUGAUUAGGCAGUGAAUGUGUCAUUCCAUCCAUGUUAAAGCAAGCUCUUGAUGUGCUUGGAUGCCAUUACGUUCAGAUUGUCAAGAUAAACAAGGCCAAGGUUUCACAAUGAAAUCACCAUCCUCUCUCUCCAUCUGCCUCCUGGAAAAUUCAUGCAGGUAGAGACAAAGGCAGAAUGAAAAACAAGUUCUCUGAAACUGAGUGCACAUGUAGAUGUUCCAGUAAAGUUUCUUGACAUGAUAGGUAUCUCUGGCAGUCACUAAUUUGUUUCUCAGUGCUGCUUCGUCUAUCUGCAAGUUGAGACUUGAGGUUUUUCUCUCCCCUCUCGACAGUUCUUCUUUCCUCUUCCCCUGCCUGCCCCCUUCUACUCACAGCCCUAUAUGGUAAAAUAUUUACUGUUGACUGAUGGCACAGGAAAUGUAUCACUUGAACAUCUGCAAACACAAGAACAUACAGGUAACUGCCAAAGUAAUGGAAACACUUGAAUAAAUGAGGGAUACAAAGUAUAUUGAAAGCAGGUGCUUCCACACAAGUGUGAUUCCUGAGUUAAUUAAGCAAUUAACAUCCCAUCAUGCUUAGGGUCAUGUAUAAAAUAUUGGGCAGGCCAUUAUUCUGGCUACCAUGGCUAUGCCCCCAUCUACAGAGUAUAUGAGUGGUCACUGAAUAAUUUGAUGAGCAUGGAAACGAUGUAAACAAUAUGCCAUGGCUGUUUCAGUCACUAGAUCUCAACCCAAUUGAACACUUAUGGGAGAUUCUGGAACGGUGCCUAAGACAGCAUUUUCCACCACCAUCAACAAAACAAUGAUGGAAUCUCUUAGAAAAAUGGUGUCGCAUCCCUCCAAUAGAGUUCCAGACAGUUGUAGAAUCUAUGCCAAGGUGCAUUUAAGCUGUUCUGCCUCGUGGUAGCCCAAUUCCCUAUUAAGAAACUUUAUGUUGGUAUUUCCUUUAUUUUGGCAGUUACCUGUACAUUAUAAUAAUAGUAUCACUCACUAUUUUUGUUGGGGUAAAACAUUUCUGAAAACUCUGUGCUCUUGUUUGAAGUUCAUAGCAUGGGUUACAGACUAAUCACCCUAGGGCACUGUUAAUUAUUGAACAUACUGUAUAAUAUCACUAUCAAACACAUAAUCAAGUUGAAGAACAUAUGUGCACACAACCACCUUGAAUCGCCAAAGCCUGGGGACAUUGGUGUACAUAUGCAAUUCAUAAGACUUUGAAUCACAGGUAACUUAUUUUAAAGCAUUGGAUAUUUAUCGUAUCGAGUGUAUGACCUGCUUAGACACUCAGAUUGUUCUUCAGGUUGUUGUCAGUACUGACCCAAAAAUUAUUUUGGUUUGUAUACCUUUGUAAUACAUACAAGUCAUCUGUAGGCUAAAGUGCACAGUUUGUCACUCUAUUGCUGAAAAAAAAGGAAGUUCUUAACUAGUGUUAGCAUAAUUGCUAACUAACAUUAGUGCAAUGACUGGAAGGCUAUGGUAACUGCUAGCAUGCUAGUAGAUGCCAUAGACUUCCGGGCAUUAUGCUAACGCUAAUUAGCAUUGGGUCACAAAACUACCUCUAACUUCCUUCCUACUGGAUGCAGAGACAUAACAACGGUCUCCAUGGAUUCAUCUGACUCUAGGGAAGUAGAUAAAGGGCUUCGUUGCUAAAAUCCCGAAUUAAGCUGCUGUGCUGGCACAGACCACUUCCUCAUUCUGAUUUAUGUUUGUGUAGUUUAUUUGGCUCGUGUGUUUUAAAAUGUCCUGGGUUGACCUCGAAUGUUACUGACAAAUUAAUCCAACUUGUAAAUGCCAAAAUCCCCAAUGCAGGAAAAAAAUAUUAAAAGAAAACUCACAGAACAUUUUAAAUGUAAUAUCUACUGCAACAUCAGUCUAUGCAAUUAGCUGAAUAUGAAGCUAUAGACAGGUAUAAUUAUAUUUUUCCAAUGGUCAAUAAUAUUGAAGUGUUGCCUCUGAAAAGGCCAGAAGAUAGAUAGAUGUCUGUUCUAAAUAGUUACCAUGUUGACCCAUUGGUGAUUGGCAGUGUUAUUACAUAGGCUGGUACUGGGGUUAUUACACAUCAAAUCAAAUUGUAUUUGUCACAUGCGCCGAAUGGGUUAUUUAAAGGCCAAUUAAAAGGCACUCACAGACCCCAGUCAUGCUAUAGAGGGAGAUGACCUUUCUUUAUAACCUCUGUCUACCGACCAUGUUUCAUAUCUUAUUAGUCUGUAUGCAACUUGAACAGGAUCAAUAAAUGAAUAACUAUUUUACUGGGGUUAUUCAUCCAUGCAGAGGCGUUGAAUAUUAGUUUAAAUAGUGACUCCAGCAAGAAAGAUAAGCUGGACAUAUUGGCAAGUGAGUAUGAGAGGGAGACAAAAGAAAGAAAGAGAGAACAUUUAUUGCCUCAAGUGUAUGAUCUAUAGCUAGACGACGUAACAUUCUGAGGGUUUUCAAUGAAGAAGAGUCUGUUCUGAAUCAGAUUGUCAAACUCUAUUCCAUCUUCAUCACUUCCUGUUCUGUUUGUGUCUUCGUAUAGGCUCCUUGUGAUGACCUUUGAAAUAGGAUCCAAGUGAUUUCUUCUUUCUGAAGCACAGAGGCAGAUUAGGGCCUUUCCUUAACCCCAAAUACACUGUACACCAAUGAAAAUCAUGUUACACUCACCCAUUGGGUAUUGUUAGUUGGUAUGUUAGGUCAGUGUAAAUCUAAACACAACCACCAUUUGAUCACCCCUCAGGACAUACAAUUCUGUAACCAGGCAAUAGAUGAGAAACUAUACCACAUUUUUCUAAGAAAAUUAAACUACUCGAUCAUAUUCCUAAUUUCUUUGGCCAUGAUGACAAAUCAUCUUUUUGACUACAAUCAUUUUCUUGUGGAAAAUAACUGCAGGGAUGACAGAGAUAGGGGAGGGUUUGAUCUGGUGGACAGUGACCUGAGUGGACCAACAGCCAGUGUAUUUACUGCACUGAGGAGACAGAUAGAUGCAUCAAUGUGGAUGGAGUGCAGCUCAGCUCAGCUCGUUAAGCCCUGACAAUGGCUGCUCUGUGACAAUGCUGGAGUGGCACACAGGAGCAUUGAGAUGUGGCCCAUUCACACUGGCAGAAAGGGCCCCCCUCGCUCGCCCCAAUUUCUCCCCUCCCCAACCAAAAUAACCCCAUGAAUUGGUCCCCAUGAACCCGAUUCUGAGCCCACCACUCCUCCUCACUCCUCUUCCCCCUCUCGCACUUCAGGGGACAUGAUAGAAGAAAGUGAUGAGCUCAUCUGCACAGCGAGGGGUUGGUUAAAUAUCCCUUAAGUACACAAUCCAGCCGUGCUAGUCACUUUGUUAGCCCAUGUUGUGAUAUUUGGGGAAGUGACUGGGGGCUGUCAUUUGUCUUUGAAUCCAGGGGGGGGGAUCUUGAAUGUCAACUGCUGCAGUGAAUAAUACAGUUAAAUGAUAUUGGCAAGAUGUUACAACAGACUCCAUACUCUUUAUAUCUCUUGGUCUUUCGGUCAAAUGUGAUAUCUGGUUUGAAUUAUACAUGUUGCCAAACAAAAGAACAACAGAAAAAGCCUCCCUGUCAGAGUGGAAGAACAUUGUUGGGAUAAGAUGGAUCGCACAGGCAUUCAAACACUCACUGACGUAGACACACACGACUGCAGCGAUGUGUGGGAUGUGAAAUAUGCUGGAUAUGGGAGGCCUCUGGAAUCCAGGAAGGAGCUGAGUAUUGCUGGCAGGAACUCACUUGUGAAUCCCAGAGUGAACAACACUCCUAGAACUCACAUACUCACUUCUUAAGCAACUCUCCCUCACUGUAAUACACAUGUACUUACACCCUCCCUCUCUUUCUCCCUCAAGCUUAUACUCAAGUAUUGUAUAGUUACACUCCCAUAGCUCAAGGUAGAAAACCUGGCUUCACCUUUGGCCUUGCUGUGGAGCUGUCAGAACAUGCACACCUUAAUGAUACUGUAAACAGGCUAACGGAUAGGUAUGUGAGUGUCUAUUUUCCUGUGAGUAUGAUCAUCUCAGGUUAAAUGAUGUUAGAGUCAGAAAGCAGUCUGUCCACCGGUGUGACAAGGAUGCAAAUUAACUCCCUAAAGUCGUUAAUCUAAUUAAUAUGGUCCCCUAAGACACCACACAACCUGUCUCACCCAUCCUCCACCCAGCUCCAACUGGGCUAAGUCACAUACUCACACAGUACAUCCCACACCAGAUUACCCCAACAGAUCACACACACAAACAUCACAAUAAGCACAGUUUAAAGAUUUGAUCUCACCCUGCAUCCUCAAUUACUAGAGUCUGUAGCCCUUACUGUGACUUAAUACUGAGCCAUGAAUCUUUAUCUUCACCUGACUAGUACAGCCUCACCCAGAACACUGUAACCAGUCUGUCAGUCCCCUGCUCUCACUCCACCACUCAGUCCCCAUGUCUGGACCUGAACCAGCACUGCUGGAGGCUAUUGAUUGACCUAAUAUAAACAACAUUCAACACCCAUUCAAACUACACAAACAAACAAUAGCAUUCAAAUUACACAUAGGGUUAAGCCUCUGUUUGAAAUCGGUCUUUACCCCUCUAUCAUUCUCUUACCCACUACAAACUGAACUAAACUACAAGUCAUAAAGGCAGACUGCUAGAGGCUUAUAGAUUACUAGAUUAAGUAAUUAGGCAGUCGAGUUCACAUCUGUUGAACAAAAAUACCGGUGGUGGGGGAAAGGGGGUAUGGGAUGGGGGAGGUGAGAGAAUAGGGGCAAAUAGAAAAUUGUUGGAGAGGAGAGAAAAGGGGUUAGCAACAGAGGGAUUGAGGAGCAGGGAGGGGUUCUUAUUGACAAGCUUUAGAACAGAAAAGCUUGUCCUGAGAAUGUGAUUGGCUGAGCCUGACAGUAGUGACCAUGACAACAUAUGCUACUCCCAUAAGCCCCCCAGAGACAGUUACUAUGUGUACUCUAGACUAGGGUGGCACAAUCACCCAGCCCUCCUUUCCAUGUCAAUGAGCACUUUAGACACAAAGAGACCAGCAAGCUUGGAAAAAAAACAAAAACGGUUUUAUUCAGAAAUGAUUGAUCGUGUGCCCAGUUCAGUUUUUAAAUGUCUCUGUGAAUCUCCUACAUAACAUUGCUCUCAAGAAUAAAUCAAAGGUUAAACUCUUAGAGAAAAUAAAAACAUUCAUUUUUGGGGUUUAAUCCAAAUAAAAA